CUUGGUUAAUCCUGCCAGUAGUCAUAUGCUUGUCUCAAAGAUUAAGCCAUGCAUGUGUAAGUAUGAACUAAUUCAGACUGUGAAACUAUGAAUGGCUCAAUAAAUCAGUUAUAGUUUGUUUGAUGGUAUUUGCUACUCGGAUAACCGUAGUAAUUCUAGAGCUAGUACGUGCAACAAACCCUGACUUCUUGAAGGGAUGCAUUUAUUAGAUAAAAGGUCAAUGCUGGUUUUUCCCGUUGCUCUAAUGAUUCAUGAUAACUUGACGGAUCGCACAGCCUUCGUGCCGGCGACGCAUCAUUCAAAUUUUUUCCCUAUCAACUUUCGAUGGUAGGAUAGUAGCCUACUAUGGUGUUAACAGGUGAUGGAGAAUUAGGGUUCGAUUCCGGAGAGGGAGCCUAAGAAACGGCUACCACAUCCAAAGAAGGCAGCAGGCGUAACAAUUACCCAAUCUUUACACGGGGAGUUUAGUAAUUAGAAUGAGUACAAUCUAAAUCCCUUAACGAGGCUCCAUUGGAGGGCAAGUAUAGUGCCAGCAGUCGCGGUAAUUCCAGCUCCAAUAGCGUAUAUUUAAGUUGUUGAAGUUAAAAAGCUCAUAGUUGGAUUUUGGAUUGGGCCAUCCGGUCCGCCUUUAAGUGUGCACCAGUCAUCUUGUCCCUUCUGUUGGUGAUGCGCUCCUAGCCUUAACUGGCCAGGUCGUGCCUCCGGUGUUAUUAGUUUAAAGAAAUUAGAAUGCUCAAAGCAAGCCUACGCUCUGGAUACAUUAACAUGGGAUAACAUCAUAAGAUUUAGAUCCUAUUCUAUUGGCCUUCAGGAUUGGAGUAAUGAUUAACAGGGAAAGUCGAGGGCAUUCAUAUUUCAUAGUCAGAGGUGAAAUUCUUGGAUUUAUGAAAGACGAACAACUAUAAAAGCAUUUGCCAAGGAUCUUUUCAUUAAUCAAGAACGAAAGUUGGGGGCUCAAAGACGAUCAGAUACCGUCCUAGUCUCAACCAUAAACAAUGCUGACCAGGGAUUAGCGGAUGUUACUUUUAGGACUUUGCUAGCACCUUAUGAGAAAUCAAAGUUUUUGUCUGGUUAAUUCCGUUAACGAACGAGACCUCAACCUACUAACUAGCUAUGUGGAGAUGACCCUCCACAGCUAGCUUCUUAGAGGGACUAUGGCCCUUCAAGCCAUGGAAGUUUGAGGCAAUAACAGGUCUAUGAUGCCCUUAAAUGUUCUGGGCCGCACGCACGCCACACUAAUGUAUUCAAUGAGUUUAUAGCCUUGGCCAACAAGCUCGAGUAAUCUUUGAAAUUUCAUCAUGAUGGGGAAGAUCAUUGUAAUUGUUGGUCUUCAAUGAGGAAUUCCUAGUAAGCGUGAGUCAUCAGCUCGUGUUGACUACGUCCCUGCCCUUUGUACACAUCACCCGUUGCUCUUACUGAUUGAAUGGUCUGGUGAAGUGUUCUGAUCGCGGCAGCGUGGGCGGUUCGCUGCCGGCGACAUCGCGAGAAGUCCACUAAACCUUAUCAUUUAGAGGAAGGAGAAGUCGUAACAAGGUUUCCAUAGGUGAACCUAUAGAAG
rnacentral:rRNA from 1 species